CUUCCUUCAUCCUGGUGUCUGUCCACUUGCAGAAGGGGGGUCUUCUCUUCUACCCAGGGCCCGCCCUGAUGCUCUGAAGCAGAAGCUGGGGAGGUGGACACCAAUUAUUUCUCUGCCGUAGCUGCUCGGUAGCCGAGUCAAAGCUCCCAAGGAGCUAUGUUGAGUCCCAGACGGAAUGUGAAGAGUACUGGGUUUCCUGUAGGCCUGGUCCCCACUGGCUGCCUCCCUUGUACAACCCCGGCUCCAAUCCAGCAUAUGUGUGAGCCAGCAGUUGCUUCCCAGCACCUCGCGUGGCUGUUGAGAGGGUGACGUUGCCAUCGGUGACACAGGGGACAGGGAGCUUCCCUGCAUGGCAUCCUCCCACCUUAAGGCCAUGGAAGAUUCAGAAAGCCUGAAAAAAACUUGAGGGGAAGAGCCUUUCACAGACAACUUCCAUCGGUUUCCAGUCUCUGUGUUUCCAGAAAAUUCUAUUACCUGGCUCAAGUGUGACCAAGCACCUGAAGCCUCACCUUGAGAUUCACCCUCCUGUCGAGCGGCACCUGCCCUAACAGAGCAAAGCUGACUGCACCUCGACUAUCCUCCAGCUUUCCAAGGGUCAAUGAAACUGUAUUUCCUGCACCACCCCCUCCCGUCCAGUUUACAAGGUAUUCCUAAAAAGCAACAGGCAACGUGUUUUUGAUUUUUUGAAGCUCAAAAAAUUAUUUGCCAGGAACACACAAAUCGUUUGUUUUACUCUCUGGUACUUGCUUAUCGACACAAGAUCGCUGGGAAAGAACAAGAGCAACAUUAGUUUAAACACUGAUUUUUUUUUUUUUCUUUUUUACGGCCAUGGGGUUCCUGACCUCAGAACUUGUAGUUGGUUACAUACUAGUUAAAUAUUACCAUUUUGAACAAAACAAAACAAAACAAAAAAAAACCCAGAUAUUCCUUCGGCGAAAAAACCUGGUGACUCUUCCUGAGCGACGUUUAUGUCAAGUGGAAGACGGUUCUAAUUUUAUCUGUGUUCAAUAAGCAGAUUAAAACAAAUCAUGAGGCUGAAGCUGUUUACAAUUCUCUGAGCGGCUGAGGGAGAGAAAAUCACCUUGAAUCUAGCAUUUUCUGGGCACACUGCAACAGCCAGGUCCCUCAGACCAUCUGGGAAGGAAUUAAUUCCAUCUAUGUGUUAGUUUAAUAUGAAAUUGUUUUAUUUUGACUAUAUUUUCCUUCAGGCUAUUAGGGAGGAGAAGAAAAAAACAGGAGAGCUGGAGAGAGACCACUUCCUUCCCAGCCUCUUCUUGCUUUGUGCUUUUGCCUUUUAAAGGUUUUACUUCUUCUGGUUGAAAAAUGUAUAAAAUGUGUACUUGAAGUACCCCCCCCCCAAAUUAUAUAUUUUGAACACGACAAAAUUUUAGAUCCACAGCACAUUUUGACAAAAAUAUUAUUAAAAAAAAUACCGUUUGCUU